UUUCUUGCAGUUUUCCCAACGCAUUUGUUCCUUGCCAGCAUCUGAGACAGGACAUGGCAUUGCUCAGGGGUCUGGUCCAAACUCGGCAGCCCCCCUCGCUGAAGCACAGUCAGGAGGCCAAAACAGGGUGCUGUGAGGGUAAGGUGGGUUGAAAUGCGGAGGAGAGCUCUGGAUGUGCCCAGCUGAGAGCAAAGCUCAGUCCACGCAGCUCUUGGGUGGAGGGUGAAGUCUUGUUCCCACUUGCUUCAUGGCAGACCUCCUGCCUGGUCCUAAUGCUGGACUGGGCACUGCCCAUCGGCAUGCUCCCAGGUCUGCAAACCAUAAUGUCAAGGCAAUAAUUUAUAAAUGUUCACCCAGAAGGAGUUCAACAUUUCUAACACCUUCAUCCAUGGACUAUUUCUUUCACCUGCGAUGUCUUUUGGCACUAUCCUCUUCCGUCCUGUUGGUGCUUAGAGGUUCCAGAGCAGCAACGAAAGUGCAAUCACAAGAGUUGGAAAAGAAACAGAUUGAGCCCACUUUGCUGAGCCCACUGCAGAGGACGAGCUUGAGACACCCGCCUGGAAAGUCUUAGAGAGAAAUAUCCUCUGCCUAUGCCCCUUGCUUAAUACUCUUCAUCUGGAUAAAGUUAAAGAAAUCCCAACCCUCUCCCAAACACAAGAAUGUAUUUAGCAUUUAACAGAAGGUCAAAAAUUAAUUUCUCUGCGAGGAAGUAGUAUGUCCCACACAUACGAGCGAUUUACUUCCCAUAAUUUGUGUGCUGGUUGGACUUUGCUGAGCUGUGGGCUGCAGCUCGUUCCUGUGUUUGCACUUAGCAAAUAUGGACAGACCCACACUGAAACAGGUCCCUGGAGCUGUUUUGUUUCCUCUGACCAGACCCAAGAUGAAGCCCCUGUUCCCCAAACCAAAAGGAAAGAUAACUGGUCCCUCAUUACUCACCUCUCCCGGAGCCCAGGAAGACAUCACCACCCACUGAGCCCAUGGCAUGUCUCCUGGGACUUCCCUGGCACCUUCUGAUGGUUAAACAGUUUCCUCAUUAACUGAGUUUCAGGACACAGUUUUAAUGAGAUCAGGUGCUGGAUAGUGUUUGAUGUGGUGCCAACCGCAAACCAAAAUGUAUUCUGCAGAGGGAAGGGCCGGAAGGGAUAAACCCUACCCUGAGAUGAGGGUCCUGAAUGGAAACCUCAGACCCAAAUGGCCUGGAAAAAAAUGGAUUUAAGUAUUAUGCUUGG